rnacentral:rRNA from 1 species
AGUGAACGCUGGCGGUAGGCCUAACACAUGCAAGUCGAACGGCAGCACAGUAAGAGCUUGCUCUUACGGGUGGCGAGUGGCGGACGGGUGAGGAAUACACCGAAAUCUACUUUUUCGUGGGGGAUAACGUAGGGAAACUUACGCUAAUACCGCAUACGACCUACGGGUGAAAGCAGGGGAUCUUCGGACCUUGCCCGAUUGAAUGAGCCGAUGUCGGAUUGGCUAGUGGGCGGGGUAAAGGCCCACCAAGGCGACGACCCGUAGCUGGUCUGAGAGGAUGAUCAGCCACACUGGAACUGAGACACGGUCCAGACUCCUACGGGAGGCAGCAGUGGGGAAUAUUGGACAAUGGGCGCAAGCCUGAUCCAGCCAUACCGCGUGGGUGAAGAAGGCCUUCGGGUUGUAAAGCCCUUUUGUUGGGAAAGAAAGGCAGCAGGUUAAUACCCCGCUGUUCUGACGGUACCCAAAGAAUAAGCACCGGCUAACUUCGUG